rnacentral:rRNA from 1 species
CGGCGGACGGGUGAGUAACGCGUGGGUAACCUGCCUCAUACGGGGGGAUAACAGUUAGAAAUGGCUGCUAAUACCGCAUAAGCGCACAGGACCGCAUGGUCUGGUGUGAAAAACUCCGGUGGUAUGAGAUGGACCCGCGUCUGAUUAGCUAGUUGGAGGGGUAACGGCCCACCAAGGCGACGAUCAGUAGCCGGCCUGAGAGGGUGAACGGCCACAUUGGGACUGAGACACGGCCCAG